AUUGAACGCUGGCGGCAGGCUUAACAAAUGCAAGUCGAACGAGUGGCGGACGGGUGAGUAAUGUCUGGGAAACUGCCCGAUGGAGGGGGAUAACUAAUGGAAACGGUAGCUAAUACCGCAUACCAUCAGAUGUGCCCAUAUGGGAUUCGCUGGUAGGUGGGGUAAAGGCUCACCGAGGCGACGAUCCCUAGCUGGUCUGAGAGGAUGACCAGACACACUGGGACUGAGACAAGGUCCAGACUCCUACGGUAGGCAGCAGUGGGGAAUAUUGCACAAUGGGCGCAAGCCUGAUGCAGCCAUGCCGUGUGUAUGAAGAAGGCCUUCGGGUUGUAAAGUACUUUCAGCGGGGAGGCGUUACUCGCAGAAGAAGCACCGGCUAACUCCGUGCCAGCCGCCGGGGUAAUAC
rnacentral:rRNA from 1 species